UGGGUUAAGUCCCGCACGAGCGCAACCCUUGAUCUUAGUUGCCAGCAUUCAGUUGGGCACUCUAAGGUGACUGCCGGUGACAAACCGGAGGAAGGUGGGGAUGACGUCAAAUCAUCAUGCCCCUUAUGACCUGGGCUACACACGUGCUACAAUGGACAGAACAAAGGGCAGCGAAACCGCGAGGUUAAGCCAAUCCCACAAAUCUGUUCUCAGUUCGGAUCGCAGUCUGCAACUCGACUGCGUGAAGCUGGAAUCGCUAGUAAUCGCGGAUCAGCAUGCCGCGGUGAAUACGUUCCCGGGCCUUGUACAACCCCGCCCGUA
rnacentral:rRNA from 1 species